GGCAGAUCAGGUGAAAACAGACGCCAGCCCUUGCAUCACCACCGGACCCCAGAGCAUCUCCCUACCUGAGGCUAGUCAGAGUCAGUGUGGUCAGACUUCACAAGGACCCAGUCUACCACCACCAAGUUAGAACAUCUACCAGGCAGUCAGUCACAUGCACAGAUAAUAAUUUAAGUUUAGCUUCAGCUUGUAAUAGAGGAUUUUGUCAGAUUAAGCCUCACUUUAAAAUGUUCGUUGUUGAUUCAUGUGUGUUCUUGUUUUGAUGGCUGUGGCAUUUUCAUUUUGAUUAUACACUAAUGGUUCUUGUGUUAUUUUAAUGUAGUAGAUGUAUCAAAGGAUGACACUGAGACCUCUGACUCUGAGCAAGACAGUGAGCCAGAGCUGCCAGGAGAUGUCAUCUAGCCCCUCCCAACUGCAUCAAACACCAGAUAUGCAGUUCCAAAAGGACCCAAUGGUAGGCCAGGCCUACCAAAACAUUUCCCAGAACUCAGCAUGGUCCUAGGAAAAGGGCUUUCAACAGCUCCUGAUGAUACAGAACACUGCUGUCCAUCCUGGGCUCCCUCAGGUAUGCAGCUGCACCACCACUGAACAUACAGGAUGUUUCACUGGGUGGUGAAGGUGGUUCCUCAGCCCCCUGACGCCCCUGGUUCUCUGGGAGAGGAGACGGCCAAUCCCGCACCAAGAAACGUGUCUAAAGAUGAAGUGAAAAAAGUCAAGGCACAACCAGCCAAACAGAAGGAAGAUGAUAUUUCUGAGGACAACAGUAUUCAGAGUGGAGUGAUGACCUGGCUCUCCAAUGGAUUCACAAGUGCUCUUCCUCAACCAGCAGGCACACCUAACCUCAGCAGAUCCAACUCUGUAUCCAGGUCACUGCAGGAGGAUGAAAGGAAUGGGGUGAUUAAGUGGAUUGCAGAUGGACUGAGUAAAGUGGUACCCCAGCCAGAUGAAAAGUACAGAGAGGAUAUUCGAGAGGAGGAGGAUGAAACAGAGGUUUAUAACAUGAAAGAUGUGCCGGAUGCAGAGCCCCUCCCACAUAUACCUGUGGUGGAGAUGUUUUCAGAAUAUGAGGAAGAGGAUCAGAUACCACAGUUCCCCCCCAAUGUGGUUAACUGGAUUAAGAAUGCUAUUCCUCAGCCUGUGAUGCUCCCUGCAGGCUACAUAGAGGCCCUAAGUAAGGCCCAACAGGCCCAGGUUCUCUCACCAUCUCCGGAGUCCCUCAAAGGAGAUGAGGACUCACAGAACUCAAAUGUCGUGGGCUGGUUCGUGACGGGCCUCGGCCUCAAGAUGCCACAGCCUGUCACGAGAUCCAGAGAUGAUGUUGAAGUUAUGCCGAAUGGGGGGGUGGGAGUGCUGAGAUCCCCUUAAACAAAAGGAGAAAGAAGACUGAGGAACCGUGAGAGAGACUGAGACUGAGAGCAAAGAGAUAGAGGCAGAAAAACAGACUUACCGACAUAGAUGAUUGUCGACAUUUAUACAGCUCCACUGAGCAACCUGGCAGCUGUGAGACAUCGCUUAAAAAAUAUGUUUAAUUUACCUUACUCUUUAUGGAAUGCAGAUAUUUUUGUUUGAUUUUAAUUGUGUAUAGUCAA
ensembl:lncRNA